UUGGCACUGAUGAAUUAUAAAUUUUCUUUUCUGACAUCUCUUAUGAAUCAAAGUGAUUUCAUUUAUUUAACUGAACUU